rnacentral:rRNA from 1 species
AUUGAACGCUGGCGGCAGGCCUAACACAUGCAAGUCGAACGAGCGGCGGACGGGUGAGUAAUGUCUGGGAAACUGCCUGAUGGAGGGGGAUAACUACUGGAAACGGUAGCUAAUACCGCAUACCAUCAGAUGUGCCCAGAUGGGAUUAGCUUGUUGGUGGGGUAACGUCUCACCGAGGCGACGAUCCCUAGCUGGUCUGAGAGGAUGACCAGCCAAACUGGAACUGAGACACGGUCCAGACUCCUACGGGAGGCAGCAGUGGGGAAUAGUGCACAAUGGGCGCAAUCCUGAUGCAGCCAUGCCGCGUGUAUGAAGAAGGCCUUCGGGUUGUAAAGUACUUUCAGCGGGGAGGCGUUACCCGCAGAAGAAGCACCGGCUAACUCCGUGCCAGCAGCCGCGGUAAUAC